CGUCUAGGCGGGCUUGUAAGUCAGAUGUGUAAGCCUCCGGCUCAACCGGAGAAUUGCAUUUGAUACUGCAAGUCUUGAGUUCGGAAGAGGGAAGCGGAAUUCCUGGUGUAGCGGUGAAAUGCGUAGAUAUCAGGAAGAACACCAGUGGCGAAGGCGGCUUCCUGGUCCGAUACUAACGCUGAAGCGCGAAAGUGUGGGGAGCAAACAGGAUUAGAUACCCUGGUAGUCC
rnacentral:rRNA from 1 species